rnacentral:tRNA from 1 species
GGGCCGCUGGUCUAGUGGUAUGAUUCUCGCUUAGGGUCACACCCUACAGCAGUGUUUGCGAGAGGUCCCGGGUUCAAUCCCCGGGUGGCCCC